rnacentral:rRNA from 1 species
GUAGUCCACGCCGUAAACGAUGGAUGCUAGCCGUUGGGACUUACGUCUCAGUGGCGCAGCUAACGCGUUAAGCAUCCCGCCUGGGGAGUACGGUCGCAAGAUUAAAACUCAAAGGAAUUGACGGGGACCCGCACAAGCGGUGGAGCAUGUGGUUUAAUUCGAGGCAACGCGAAGAACCUUACCAGGACUUGACAUGUCUAGUAUGGGGUAGAGAAAUUUACUCCUUCAGUUCGGCUGGCUAGAACACAGGUGCUGCAUGGCUGUCGUCAGCUCGUGUCGUGAGAUGUUGGGUUAAGUCCCGCAACGAGCGCAACCCUCACCCUUAGUUACCAUCAUUCAGUUGGGCACUCUAAGGGAACUGCCCGUGACAAGCGGGA